AGGUUGAAGUCAGGGGAAACGUGAUGGAAGACCGAAACAGUUCUGACGUGCAAAUCGAUGUCAGAAUUGAGUAUAGGGGCGAAAGACCAAUCGAACCAUCUAGUAGCUGGUUCCUUCCGAAGUUUCCCUCAGGAUAGCUGGUGCAUUUAAAUGUUAUAUAAAAUAAUCUUAUCUGGUAAAGCGAAUGAUUAGAGGCGUUAGGGUCGAAACAAUCUUAACCUAUUCUCAAACUUUAAAUGGGUAAGAACCUUAACUUUCUUGAUAUGAAGUUUAAGGUUAUGAUAUAUUGUGCCCAGUGGGCCACUUUUGGUAAGCAGAACUGACGCUGUGGGAUGAACCAAACGUAAUGUUACGGUGCCCAAAUUAACAACUCAUACAGAAACCAUGAAAGGCGUUGGUUGCUUAAAACAGCAGGACGGUGAUCAUGGAAGUCGAAAUCCGCUAAGGAGUGUGUAACAACUCACCUGCCGAAGCAACUAGCCCUUAAAAUGGAUGGCGCUUAAGUUGUAUACCUAUACAUUACCGCUAAAGUAGAUGAUUUAUAUUAUUUAUAAUAUAAAUUUUGAAACUUUAGUGAGUAGGAAGGUACAAUGGUGUGCUUAGAAGUGUUUGGCGUAAGCCUGCAUGGAGCCGCCAUUGGUACAGAUCUUGGUGGUAGUAGCAAAUAAUCGAAUGAGACCUUGGAGGACUGAAGUGGAGAAGGGUUUCGUGUGAACAGUGGUUGAUCACGAGUUAGUCGGUCCUAAGUUCAAGGCGAAAGCCGAAAAUUUUCAAGUUUUAAAAAUGUCAAAUGAAAUAAUAAAUAAUAAAACACUUGAAUAAUUUUGAACGAAAGGGAAUACGGUUCCAAUUCCGUAACCUGUUGAGUAUCCGUUUGUUAUUAAAUAUGGGCCUCGUGCUCAUCCUGGCAACAGGAACGACCAUAAAAAAGCCGUCGAGAGGUAUCGGAAGAGUUUUCUUUUCUGUUUGGAAGUUUCUGUUUCUUUUCAUGGAAGUCUUUCGCAGAGAGAUAUGGUAGAUGGGCUAGAAGAGCAUGACAUAUACUGUUGUGUCGAUAUUUUCUCCUCGGACCUUGAAAAUUUAUGGUGGGGAUACGCAAACUUCUCAACAGGCCGUACCAAUAUCCGCAGCUGGUCUCCAAGGUGAAGAGUCUCUAGUCGAUAGAAUAAUGUAGGUAAGGGAAGUCGGCAAAUUAGAUCCGUAACUUCAGGAUAAGGAUUGGCUCUGAAGAUUGAGAUAGUCGGGCUUGAUUGGGAAACAAUAACAUGGUUUAUGUGCUCGUUCUGGGUAAAUAGAGUUUCUAUCAUUUAUGAUAGUUAUUUGUUCCCCGGAUAGUUAGUUACGUAGCCAAUUGUGGAACUUUCUUGCUAAAAUUUUUAAGAAUACUAAUUUUUAAUUAGUUUUUUUAAAUAUCAUAACGAUUAUCAAUUAACAAUCAAUUCAGAACUGGCACGGACUUGGGGAAUCCGACUGUCUAAUUAAAACAAAGCAUUGUGAUGGCCCUAGCGGGUGUUGACACAAUGUGAUUUCUGCCCAGUGCUCUGAAUGUCAAAGUGAAGAAAUUCAAGUAAGCGCGGGUCAACGGCGGGAGUAACUAUGACUCUCUUAAGGGAAGCUGGGAAGCUGGGUCGGAUGAGCGCAGAAGGGGUGUUCUUCGGAGCACUGUAAUUCAUAAGUCGUAAGUCUGAUCAAGUCGACUCG
rfam:Drosophila willistoni strain TSC#14030-0811.24 scf2_1100000010741 genomic scaffold, whole genome shotgun sequence.